CCUGAGCUCAACUGAUCCGCCCACCUCAGCCUCCUGAAUUGCCGGGAUUAUAGGUGUGAGCCACCAUGCCUGACCGCUACAUCAUGUUCUCUUUUAAAGAGAUAUUGGGAGAAAUAUUACAGGAAAUCUAGGUCAUUGAUUGAUUCCUAUUUUCAGAAGGGACUACUUUGAUAACUGUAAUUGUUAUCAAUAAUAUGAAGUGAAUUAUUUGGAAUUUUACAACAUUCCUUGAAAGACUGAGACUCAGUCAGGGUUAGUGAGUCUUGAUUAGAUAAAUGACAGGAAAGUUAAAUACUGUUUCUGUUUCCCAAAGAUGGAUUUAGUUCUUUCAUCUGUUUCUCCAGAUAUUCAUUUUUUAAGAAAAAUUCUGGUUCGGUUGGCAGUGACAUUCAGAUUCUGAUUGUAUGCCUUCUGCAUGUUUAUUUUUACAACACACUGUGAAUUGUAGAAAUAUGGUGGGACAGUCAUAUUUCCUUGGCAUUGAAACCUUACAUAUUCAAGAAAGUCUGUGCUAGGUUUUGCUCAUGGAAAUGUUAUAGUGUUUCACAGUUUACAGACAAUUUCCUUUGAUAAUGUCUGUGAAAGCACAGUGGAGGGCACCACCUGGUCACUCUUUCAACCUGUAUCAUUCAGGGCCCUGCUAGGGAGCAGAUGGCAUGUGUAUGCCAAGUCCUUUGAGGAGGGCUUGUUAAAGGGACCCUUUGGAAGAUGUGGGCAGGUGUAGGGAACACAAUCAGGGUGGGUGCUAAAGAAAGACCCAGCAGUGACAGGGAGUUAGUCCUACUCUAAGGAAGGGGCAAGAAAGGCUGACAAGAGCUGUAUCCCUUUCUAGAGGGACCCUGUCAGCCUGUAAUAUCUCUCCAGGGAGACAGAGGGGAAUAUAUAUACCUUCCUCACUCUCUGCCUGUCUCCUAAAUGUUGGCUGGUGCCUUCCAUUAGCCGAACCCAGACAGAAACCAGAGGGCAGGAGAGAGGAGGAUGAGGGUGGAAAAAGUAGGUGAAUGGUCUGGGAAGGCCAGUUUCAGACCCCCACCCACUUGCCCUCCAGAACAGAGGUUUGCAAGGUUAAGCAGUCAGUCCAGGGUAGAAAGCUUAUGGUCUGGUUUUGUGGACAAAGAAAAUAAAACUGCAUCUACAUUGAUUAAAUUGAAAUUGAAAUUGGGAAUCUUCUACAAUACCACAUGGCUGCUAUCAGUAUAAUUUGUGGUGGGCCUUAGAGUAACAUUAAAUAUUUUUUUUUUAGUUCCCUUUGGAAUGGAUUUUGCUUUAUGCUUCUUGAGAAAUGCGUAGAAUGGGAAAUGUUAUAUGUUUAUCUGAUUAACCAAAAAUGUGGGCUUAUAGAUAGGACAGACAGAAGGGAUUCAUAGUCUCUCGACAUGGAGUUGGAUUCCUAAGAUAGACAUAAUUCCUUUGCUUUUAAUAUUUUAUAAAAAAUAUUUUAUUUAAAAUGUCAGUACCUGGGAGAAGAGACUAGGAGGAAAUUAAGGUUAUUAACAGUAAUUUUCCAUCAAAGAAGUCAAUUUAACGGAAUCAUUAGCAUCACUGAGUAGAAAUGAACAAGCUGUAUUUCCCCAUUUGUUCAGCAUGGCAGUAAGAUUCUGAAAUUUCAGGCUCAUUUAUUCUCUCGUUUUCUUGGCUCUGUUGUUUGAAAAGGUGAAGUCUGCUCUUUGGUUUGUGUACUUGUCCUGAAUGAACAAGCAACGGAACUUAAUUAGAAUCAUAAAAUGAUACUGCUAUAAGGAAUAUCAGAGUUCAUUUCUUCUUACCUCCAAAUUGCAUGGAGUAAGAAACUGAGAUACUGGUUAUUAGCAACUACUACUUUGCAAGUUCUCAGAGUUGGUUACUCUGGAAAAGUCGUAUCACCUCUCCAUCUUGAAGGAAUUGCACUAGAUUAAUUCAUUUUUGCUUUUACCCUUAUAUAUUCCUGAAGUCCUUGAUUUCAAGGGUUUGGUUGUCCAUUAUACACUAUUUUCAUAGAUUAGAGGCAGAGCUUCAUGAGUACCUCUUUCAUUACCUAGCCCUUAAAAUGGUAUUCUCUGGAGGUCUCUACAUUGCUUUUGACUGUGUUCACUCUGUAAACUCUUUCUAUAUAAGAUAACUCAUUCACUUCUACCAUUUUUUUAACCCCCAAUUUACUGAAGACUCCUCUAUCACUGACCUCUUGUUGGAGCUCCAGAUAUAUCCUGUUGUCUGCUGGAGAUCUUGACAUUGAAGUCUAUGGGGACUUUCAAAUCAAAGUGUACAAAACAGGAGUCCUCAACUUCACUCCAAACUUGUGUCUCCUUCCGGUUUCUAAAUCUUCAUGAAACAAGCUAUCCGUCUGUUGAGUCUACCCCAUCAAUAUCCUUCAUUUUUGUUCACUUUUCUCCAUUCCUAUUGCCGCUAGCCUGAAUUUAUGUCCGUGUGAUUUCCUGUCUUGAUUGUUCCAAGAAUUUUUUCAUUCAGUCUCUCUAUACUGUCUCUUUCUCAUCUGUGCCUUCAUUCGUGUCUUCUGUUGGCUAUUCAGUGAACAUCAGGUACUUUAUCAGUGAGAUCUUGCUCUCAGAAGUUUACAGUUUACUGGAGGGGACAAAUAGACACUACUUUAUAAGUUUACAUCUUUGGCCAUUGACUCCAUUCCCCACACCAGCUAAAGUAAUUUGCACACAACAAGUCUUAUUAUAGCAUUACCUCUAAGAUACUUCAACAGCUCCCUGUUGCUAUCAGGAUUAAUUUGUCUUCCUAAUUUGCCAAAUGUAAGCCAUCCACGGCCUGACCUCUGUGAUGAAGUUUUAACUCCUUUAUUUGCAUCACCUAUACUAGGCUGUGUUGAAAUCCAAGAACAUAAAGCCUGCUGCACUGUGGACACUGUGGCUUUGCACUAUGACUUUGCACUCAAUCCCCUUCUUCAACUGGCUGACUCCUACAGGCCUUUAGAGACUCCAUGCAGUUGCCAUCUUCCUAUAAAGCCUUCCUUGAUUUCCACUCCAGUCCAGGUUGGGUGCCCUACUUUAGUCCUCCUGUUGAAUAGUUUGCAAAUUUUAGCCACAGCAUGACUCUCUUAGGAAAUGGAACAAUCUGGUGCAUAUUAGUGACUAAGUUGAUGUCUCUUAAAUGAAUAAAUAACUAAAUGCCAUUACUGCAAAGUCGGCAGAUUGGGUAAAUCAGGAAAACAAUCUGAUGAUUAAGCAAAAAAAAAAAAAAAAAAGCCAAAGUUUAGUAAACUGAAGACAUCUGCUGACCUAUUAAAGAAAAAAGUAUUUCAUGAUUAUUUAUACUGGUCAUUGAAAAGUAGCAGAAUGAUCAAUUUGGAAAUAUGAUAAAUAAUUUGAAAAUUCUAUAUCCAUUAUUUCUGGUAACAGAAAUCCUGAUAUUGUAAUUAGUAUACUAGAUCCAGAGGAGACAUUUCCCUGAAGAUAGGUUAUCAUUUUUUUCCUGAUAGGCACAUACUCAUAUUGUUUUUCCUAUUUUAUGAGUUUGAUUUUAAUCACGUUAUUCUCAUUUUUCCUACAGUGUGUAGGAAUUAGAAAAUAAAUUUCUUAUUUCAAACAUGGUUGGAAAUUUAGGAAGAAAAUAAUUUAUUUAAUCAGAUUAUUUUAUCAAGUGGGACUCUUAGUAAUUUAAAAUGCUUUGUAUUUAUUUUCUUGUAGCAUUUUAUUUUCAAAAUGACCUGCAAAUACAUCAAUGCCAAACAGAGAAAGCAAGAAAGUCAUUAAUUAAUUGAAGGGAAAUAUUCUGCUGAAUAUUGUUUUUUAGAGAACAUCUUUUAUAGUUCUAAAACCAGAAGGGAGCAGUUUAUUCAUAGUGGUUUGAAUCUUGUGAAAAAAGUGUCUCUGACAGUCUUCACCAGGCCCCCUUCGCCAAGCAUUAAUAGGACUUAAGAAAUGUCUUCUUCACAAUUGGCUUCUUUUUGACUUCACAGAUUUCUUUUAGCUUUGUGUUGAAAAGUGCUGUCUAAGUAUGUUAAUUAUUAGAUAUAUCAUUAUUCAGAUUUCAAUGCAGACAACAUUAGGAGGAUUAUAGUUUAGUUAUUGCAGCUGUUCAGAAAACACUUCAUGAUAGCGCUUGGAAAUACAGAUAGAGAAUAUUUCCUUUUAUUUAGAGACUUUUUGGAUCUGUGAGGCCCUCUGAGAAUCUUAAGCUUGGCCCCAUUCUGUCCAUUUUUCAUUCCCUUUGAAAGAGUUUCAAAGUAACUGGUUAAAGUUUCUCCCCAUCUGUCAUAAGUAGCAUAGAGGGAUUUCUUGUGCAGCUACCAAAGGGAAAUGAGGAAAUUUAAAAGUGCAGAUGAUUUGGGUAUUAAUACAUGUCCUGGCAGUGACUCUGCUAGAAUCAGGCUCUCCCAAACUAUUUUGUUGUGUGCCAAUUUUUAUUUUCUCAGCUACAGUAUUAUAACUAUGGCAGACCCACAGGUUUUCCAUAAAGAUUGAUGAUCAGGAGGAAUCCACUCGUUAAUUAAGAGCAGCAGAUGCCUUCUGAAAACAUUCUGGAAAUGUUCUACAUUAUAUUGAACCAAAGUGCUUCCAGCUUUGUUGGAAAGAUUAAGGCAAUAAUUACAUGGAAGGUAUGCCUCAUUUGUCAACAGGGUUUUUGGUCUAGAAUAUCGCAAGAGCAAUUCCUAUCCAUUUCCUUCUAGAGGUGACAGCAACCUUCUUAUUGCAGAAGGGUUAUGAUGUGGGGAACAUAAGUGCUUACCAGUAACUGCUUCUUUUCCUCACACAGGAUAUGAGAUACAGGGUAUGAGACCCUCAGAGAGGAAGUCUCUUUCUCUACAAACACACACACACACACACUCAUACACACACACACACACGCACUGCAGGUGCUUGAGCCACACUGUGGAAUGGGAUACAUAAGAAAUUGAGCCAGUUCUUUGACAUUUUUUAGUCUUUACUGGAUGGCUUUGCAGUAUUUUAAAAUGUUGAAACUUACCAGGAUUCUUUAAGACCGGGCCCCUAACCCAGCAUUUAUUAGGCUUAAACAGUGUGCCCUGGGCCUUCAGAAUGCAAUCCCAUUUCAUUGUCUCAGCAAUUCUGCAGAUUAGGUAUAAUUACCACCAUUCGAUACUAAGAAAACUGAGUGAUUACAGCACUUACUCAGGGUCACAUGGUUGAUCAGAUGUAUAGACAGGUUUCAAAAUAAGGUUGACCUGACCUGAAUCUGUGACCGUACAGGCACAGAGGAAAGGCCAUAUGAGGACAUGGGACACGGGAGAAGGUAGCAGUCGUCAAGCCAAAGAGAGAGGUCUCAGGAGAAACCAUGCUUGCUGGCACUGGCACCUUGAUCUUGAACUUCUAGAACUGUGACAAAAUAAAUUUCUGUUGUUUAAGCUAGCCAGUCUAUGGUAUUUUGUUAUGGCAGUCCUAGAAACCUAAUACAGUGGAGGGUUUCUUUUACAGGCAGAUGAAAGCAGACCUUGGGAUAUAAAAACAAAGUAUUAUGGACCAAUAUAUCAGAAUAAUAAUUUUGGCAUUUGAACGCAUGUUCCUAAUUUCAAAAGGUGAUUUUUGUCUUGAGUUGGUUUAGUUUAUAGGAUAUUUGCUUUCACUGAGCUUUCAUAAGAGUUAAUUUGUUUACAGGCAGAGAUGAGAUAAAUCAUGUCUUUCUUUAGCCUGUUUCUUUAUUUCUUUUUUUCUAUGUGAAUUUCACAUACUUCUUUAAAGAGUCUUAUAAUUAAAACAUGUCAUGUUAAAUGAGCUCAAAUCUUUUUCCAUAAUUAGGAACUUGAAUCAUUGCCUAAUUUAUAAUUUGAUAAGUAAUGUGUAUUUGUUGAAUUUUUCUGCUAUCAAUGUAAGUCCUGGGGUAAUUUUCUAAAACAAAAUAAAAGUGGUUUUGGCUUUGUUUUCCUAACAUAUUAACAGUAGUCUAGGAAAUAUUUUAAUUUCUCUUUAGUUAGUUGGUGCUUUCUCUUUGUAAUUUUUUUUUGUGUGGAGGAUAAAUUAUCAUAAGACUUUCAUUAAGUACAUUGUAGUGUUUUGCUUAAUUUGGUGCCUGUCAGGAAAAAACCCAACAGCACAAUGGAGGUGUUAUGAAUGAGUUAAUUUAUUUAUUAAUUUCAAUCUAAAUUUUUCACUAAUGGAGAAAUAAAAUAUUUGUAGAAUUGAAGUUAUGAAACAGCGAACAUAACUGCUGAAUGAUUUAUAUUCGGUACAUUCUUUAAUAUAAAGAUUGGCUAUAAAGACAUCUUGACUACAAAGCAUGACAUUGAUUUGCUUUACAUAAAAAAAUAUUUUAAAUUUUCUUCUUCACAAUAGUAUUACUUGAGUGAGCUUUUUAAACAGUAUAGUGCUAUUUUAUUAGUUAAGUAAUGCAUACAUCUGACUAAGUGUGAUAUAUUGGGUUUAAAAUAUUAUUCAGAACCUAGCAUAGCUACAGCAUAGAAUGGGGUCACAUAAUAAACGUUCUUCUUUAUGUAUGUGUGUGAACUUUCAGUGAGUCACAUGAGCUGGUUUGGUCAUUUGAGUUUAUCUGAAUACAUUAGUUAUGAGCUAUUUAGCUCUUUCAAGCAGCAUUAUUCAUUCUCAAAUUUUAAAUCAGAUUUGUACAGUAGCUAGCACAUAGUAGGCUUUUAAAUGUGUCCUAAAACUAAUAUGUAAGACGAGGACAUGGGCCACAAACUGUUAUUUUACUUUCCUUCCUUAUUUCAUGGUUUUGUAUAUCUUAUUUUGGAUUUGUAUGCAUUCUGCUGUUUCUAAAAUUAGUAUCUAAGCAAUGCAUUUUUUAACAUUAAUUAUCAAGUUUUGUCUUACUCUUAAAUUUUGCCUUAUAUAAGGCAGCAUAAGUGGGCAUUAUCUGCCUUGCUGACACCUACUUUCCUGGGGUGAAAUAUAUUGACCUUGACUGUAACCUUGACAUUUAAGAUAGUUGACUAGACUCUGAAAAGAGAAAGACCAGCGUGAUUGUAAAUCACGCCUAUUUGUAUAACAUCCUCAAUUACAUAAUAAAAAUAAUCCACAAAAUUGCCAAGAUACUUGAACAUAUUAUACGGGGAUUGGUCUUAGCAGCACAGACUUACCCAUGGGUAUUAGUUCAUUUCCUGAAGAAUCCUUCACCAAACUGAAAGUUGAGUUUACAGUCCUGAGAAUGUGAUGCCUCUUUAGUUAUUAUAACCACAAAACAGUGGAAUGGCUGUUUCUUCCUUUGAGCAGAAUGAUAUGUUUAAAUUCUUUUUUUGAGGGAUGAUUUCAAAUGUGUUAAUUAUGUGGCUCAAUUUGGAUUAUAAGGGAUGAUAUAAAUUAAAUUAUCACUGAAUUUUUACCCUGCCUACCUCACUCACUUUGACCUUAAGAUCUUAUGAAGAGUGAGACAAAGCCAUCAUGAUGGGAAAAAGUGAUCAUCUCAAACUCGUGUAUGUAGAUGAAAAAGGAUAUAUGUUUCUGUGUGAGGAUCCCGUGUGGAAAUACCUUUAUAAAGUUACUCGCAAGUACAGCAUCGGUUUAUUGGGAAGGAAAUGAACAUUUUUUGAAAUGUCUUGUGAAGGUCAGGAACUCCACUAGGGACUCUCCUUUGGGAGGAAGUUUAGCAAAAUGGUUGGGCACGUGUAUGAUGUGCAUUGUGGGGUCCUGGCUUUGCUACUGAGAAGCCGAGUGACCUUGGUCAAGUCAUUGACCUCCUCCUCCUCAUCAUCGUUUUUUGUAUCUAUCCUGUGAGAUAGGUGGCAAUAUCCUCAUUCUACAGAUAAAGAGACUGAGGCCCAUUUAAGUAAUUUGUUCAGGUCCACAUAACUAGCAAGUUGCAGCGCCUCAGUCUGGAGUCAGACCCUGCUCAGGAUUCUACCCUCUUCUACCCCUUCAAUGUGGUCUUCCCCUCCUUCCAAGGCUGUCUUUGCCUAGUUACCAAGUUGAUAGUUUUGAUCAGAUAGGUUGGUUGCUUUCAUGUUGAAUGAACUCAGAUUAGGAGCACUGAUCAUAGGAAAAAGGUUCUGAAAAGGGAAUUGGGAGAAGUGACUUAUAGCUGGCCAUUGCCCUAGCUGAUUAUGUGUUCUUCAGCAAGUCAUUUCACAUCACCGGUUUCAGCAUACUUAGCUCUCUUAAAUGAAGGGCUUAGGCUUGUAGAACUCUUUCUUUUAUAUUUACCCUUUUAUCAUCAUGAAGUGUUUCUCUUUGUCUCUAGUAAUCCUCUGUGUUGAAGUCUAUUUUGUCUUAUUAAUAUAGCCAGUUCAACUUUAUUUUGCUUACUGUUUGCGUGAUAUAAUUUUUUUUCACCCUUCCAAUCUAUUCGUGUGUUUCCAUUUAAAAUGUGUCUCUUUGUAGAGAGCAUAUAGUUGAUUCUUGCUUUUAAAAAAAUCCAUUCUGAUAAUCUUUGCCACAUAGAUGGAAUGUUUAGUCCAUUUACAUUUAAAGUUGUUGAUAUAAUUAUAUUAUGUGGUUAACAUUUUAUGAAACAUAUUACAUUUGCACUUUGAUUUUUCUAUAUCUUCUCAGUUUUCUUUCAGACUUAACUUUAUGGAAAAAAAGUCACAAGACUUAUUUUACACUAUACAUAGGUUGUAUACUUAGUAUAAUUGGUUUGUUGAAUGGGCCACACUUAGUAAGACAUAAACAGAAAAUAGCUUUAUUCUCUCCUCUCCUGUACUUUGGAUGAUAUUUUUUGGCAGAUCCUAUAGCUUUUCAGUCAUUUUACUGUAUUGGAACAACCUAAUUGUCAAAUAUUAGAAAAAUGUAGUACAAUGUAAAUCAAAACUUCCAUUUUUCCAUCCAGUUUAUAGCUUCUCCCCUUUUUCCAUUCUUAGGCUUGAGCCUAGGCUUAGUGAUUAUCAGUAUGGAAGAAAAGGAAUUCCUAGUUUAACUCUCCUCUCUUCAUCUCCUACCAAUGUCUGGCUCCUCCAGAGUUGGCACAGGGGACAUAAAAGGGGCCAAGGCUAUUGCACUUAGCAGGUGCUGUUUGUUUUCAAGGACAGUUCUUUCUCAUACACACCCUGAUGGAUUUUUCUGGAGAGCCCUUGCAGGUCCAUUGGCAUCAUGCCAUUAAUUUGCUUUGAGCACUGCAAUAUCAGCUCCUCAUAUUCCAGUGGAAGAUCACUGGAGUGUCUCUGUGUCCUUGUCCAGGCAAUCCACUCAGAUGGAGGCUUUUCAGGAUCAUUCAAACUUGACAACCUUCCAUAGUAUUCACAUGGUCCACAGAAAAACUCUCAUCUUAACACCAUCAGACCCUGAGGGCACAGCCUGCUUCUACUUCUACUGGGACUCUGUUGCCUUGCAGGUGGCAUCAGCCAGCCAACCUGAUACAUAUGCUAUAGUUUUUGCACUGAAGCAGGCAUCCAGGCAGGGAAUAGAAUAUCAGCCUCUGUCAUUGCAGAUAGACUCAAUUUAUUAUGGCUUUUCUUUUCUUUUCUUUUUUUUUUUUUUUUUUUUUGCCUUUCUUACGAGGUGUUAGAGAGAGAAGGAAAGGGAACUGUUGAAUUUUCUUUGAAGAGAUUGCUGCAGUGCAAUUUUUCUCAUACAUAGACUCUGGAGGUGACCUUUGGACUGGCUUGGCCAUGUGUAGCAAGUCCUAUGGACAUAUACAAGGACCUCAUCAUAUCACCUUUGGCACUGAAACGUUAGCAGAAAAUUGAAACAUUAAUUCCCAUUCUCAUCAUUAGAAGAAUUUGGAGAUUACUGGCUUAAUAGCAAGAUGCACAGAUAAGUGUUAAACCUUCAGCUACAUUUAUAAUUCGUGAACCGCCACACUCUGUAAGCUUCUCCCUUCAUGUAAUGAGAAAUACUAAGUACCAAAUAAAUGCUUAAUGAAUCAAGUCAUGGUGAUUGCAGGAUAUUGGUCUCUGGGGAAGGUAAGGGUGACCAGUAUAAAAGAGGAAUGAGGUUACUAAUCUGCAAAAUUCUUUACUGAUUUGGUUAAACAAUGGGUCACUUAAGUGGAAAAAAAUAGAAUUCAAAACUGCUGUUAACUUUGUCAAACUAGUUGGUCAGGUUGGCCUAGGUAUAUAUAACCUGAAACUGGAUUGACAGGCACUUCUGCUGGAAAUCUCUAAACAGUACAGAUCAUAUAGGUAUAUUCAUAAAUGUGUAUAUAUAUGUAAAUAUAUGUGUACUUUUAUUGAGGAAUGUAUGAUAUACUUCUGCAUAUAUACACAGACAUAUAAAUAUGUAUUUUAUAGUACUAAUGUAACUGUCAGAGAAAGAAAUGACAUAAUGAUGUCAUAUAACAUAUAAAAUAUAAAAAUAUACUUGAAGAGUUGGCAAAUAAUAAAUAGCACAGAUAAAGGAGAAUGGUUUGGAACAAGAAACAGGUAAUUUUCCCUAAUUUUUGGAGCAGAAAUAGAUGAAUAUGAAAUGUAUGUAUCAGUUCAUUAGUUAGCUUACUUCAAAGUACAAAAUAACCUUAAAAGAUUUAAUGUGGUUUUGUACCAGAAUUUAUAGGUAACAAUAUGAUAAGAAGUUAUUUUAAAGUUAUAAAUUUAAUUUUGACUAAUUGUCAAUAUAUUUAAAAACAUAUUAACAUGUGCUUUACCCUAAUUAAAAGGAGAUUAUAUCUCAGUAGUGUCUAAGAUUUUUAAAAAUAACUUUGUUACUUAUAAAAGGAAUAUGAGAUUAAUUAAAAAAUAUUGGAAAAUAACUUAAAAGCACAAAGAAGAAGGGAAGAAGGCAAAACUACCUUUAAUCUAAUUAUAAUAGGUGGUAACCAAGAUAGGCCAGAACAAGAAACACCAGAUUGCUUUUUGUUUAUUGAUACAUUUUUUUCCAUGAGUGACAAAAAUUAGUCUUUUCAUGGUAGAACUUCCUUUGAUCUAUAUUUAAUUAGCUCAUUUAAUUUUCUGUUUAAAACCAAUAUUUCCUUUCAUGGCUAGACUUUGUAUGUAAGAAGUGGUUCUAAGAUUGUGUCCAAUAUCAUCAGACAUCUGCUUAAUAUAACUCCUAAAACUUUAUUUGUAGACUAGAUAUUUGUAUAAUAUUUGGAGCCUUUGUCAGUUGUUAGGAAUUACUUUAAGAUGUGGAGAAAGAAAUUAAGUUAACUGGUGAAUAAGGAAGUAUUUUCACACUUAAUCCUGUUUUUAGUUCUAACCCUGGAAUUGCUUAUAGCAGUUAAUGUGGACCUCAAUAUUUCAUUUUGUAAAUGGGCAGUGUCAGUAUGAUGGUGGGGUUAAAUGCAAGGGAGAUGCUUUUUUCCUCCUUUUCAAGGUAUACUUUAAGCAAGGUAAGCAUUCAUAAAGGAGCCCUAAUUUACUAGAAAGCUUGAAGUUUUGGAGCAGAGAUUUUCAAAGAAGUUGUAUGCAGAGUUCUUUUUGGACUAUGGUCUGAUAGUGUCUUUGUGAAAGUAUCUUCUUCCCAUUUCUUUUGUUAUGAAACCUGUUUUUUGAAAUCAUUGGCCUUUGGUGAACAUUGAACACAUUGAAAAAUAGCUGUAUAGGAGAAAAACUGUGUGUUAUAGUGUUAUUUAAUUGAGAAUACUAUUUGUGUGUGUGUGUGUGUGCGCGCCUGUGUCUGUGUCAUGGAAAAGUAUUGAAAUGAUAGAUUACUGAAACAAGAAGGAGGCUUUGUUUAUCUUUCCAAAGAGAAUCGAGCCAUUAUUUGGGAAAAGACCCAACAUCCUUUUACUAAAUCAUAUUUUUUUCAAAUAUAUGUGUAUGGCAAAUCUUAAAAUAAUAGAUAAUUAACUAAUAGAAAGGGGGAGAAAAAAAAUGGAAGCAUGCUUUGUCACCUGAUAACUAUCCCAAAAUAAGUUUGGCUUCUAACACAUUUUUAGUGUUUUUUUUUUUUCUUCAAAUGGGUAUUAGAUAGCUUCCGUGGUAGAAGUGAGGACUUGCAGAAUACUCUGUGUUACUAAAAAAUCACUGGAAAAGUUAACCUGAAAUGGCAGAGUAAAGAAGCUCAUGUUUCAGCUAAUACACUGCAGUAACUUUUGCAUCUCUGCACGUUCAUCACAGACUGUGCGCAUAUUGUGUAUAAAUAAUUACCAAAUGUUUCGGGGGUGGUGAUUCUAUUUCUUCUCCAUGAGAAUUUAUAAAGUUGUUAUAUUCGGCUUCUUUGGAGUCAUCACAGUUUAUUUCACUGAGAUGUUUACUGGAUAAAUAUUUUCACAGAGGUUUUCAUCAACUUCAAAGAGGUAGUAUUUAUUCAAUGCAAAGUGUUAGGAGCCUAUUGCAAUAUACAUUCGAUUUUUUUUUCUUUCAACGGUAGAGUUGUUUCUCUUUUUGGUUCAGACGAAUUCAUUAUUUUAAACUGCUUCAAUCAAUUCGAUAUGUUGUAUUCAUAGACACAGUGGGUUUUAUUUGUAAGCCUCCCCAGAGACCAGGGUCCCCAGGAUCUUGGUGCCACAUGUUCUGUAACUGUGACAGGAGAGCUGGGAUGUUUGUACCAUACAUGGGAGAGGGCUGAUUUCUGAGAGAAACUAAUGCUGUUGACUCAUAGGUUUCUUUUUAUCAUUUCUAGGUCAUGCAAGUACACGGUAGCUUUUAAAAUAACACAUGCCAUAGGUAUGUAGAGCCUUUGUAAGUCUUUACAGCUGUAAAAUGAGCUAGAGAAAGUCACUAUCUGGGUCAUGCAGAACCACAUCUGGUUUAUGAUAUGGGCACAUAGUAAUUGUGCUUGAGGUUAUGAUGGAGCCUCACCUUGCUUAGUUUUUGGCCACAGACUGAAGGUCCCUUUGAAUGUUCCCUCAGCUAAUGUAGGUAUGCAGUUUAUAAAUAAUAUUUUCAUAAGGACAAAAGUGAGAAGCAGCAUUGUAUAGCAGAAACGUGAGAGCUGACCUUCCUAGGUUCUGACCUUCCUAGGUUUGAAUAUCCAGUCUGUCUUUUGCUAGAAAUGUGACCUCAGGUGAGCUCCAAAGCUCCCUCUGAACUUGUCCUCAUGUGAAAGAGGAGAGACUCAUGCCUAACUGGGGAGCGGUGAAGACUGCAUGAAAUACCAGAUGCAAAGUGCCUAACACCUCACCUGGUUUAUACAAUAAUAGCUACCUCUUAGUUGUAGUUCUGUUCUUUUCUUUCUACAGACAUUUGACCAUUAAAUACACAAUUAAUUCGACUCAUUAUUAUAUUUCUAGAUUUUUUUUUUCUUUUUGAGGACUGCAUGCUUUUCAUAAAGUCUCUCGGAAAAGUAAUCUCUAUAUAGUUUUGCUUCUUCAUUCAUUCAGCAUUUGUCAAUACUUGUUACAGGCUUGCUUCCUGAGGUCUAGGAGUUUAUGUUUAUCAAGAGAGAUCCACAGAUAACAGAAGUUACUGUAGAAUUUUAAGUUCCACAGAAGGUGCAUUUCUGAGGUCCUAUAAAGCAGAGUAGCAGCAUUUGAAUCAGGUCAGCUCUUCAGCCCUCAAGAGGAAAAGAAGAUUUCUCUCUGAUACAGAAUCCUGAAAUGUGAUCUCCCUUAAAAAGAUGAAAUAUCUUCGAGAAGCAGCUGACCAGUCUUCGUGUUGGUGGAAGUUGGAAGGAAGCCAUUUUUUAGAUAGUGUGCCCAAAAAGAUACAAAAUUAGAACUUUCCUUUUGGUUCCUGUUCUGCCUCCUGUUUCCAAUACCCACAGUUCUGUUUGCCUAAGAGAAAAAGUAGGAACAUUCCCCAUGAUCCCAGAUAAUCCUUCUCAGAGACUAAUUGUUACUUUUAUGUUUUUCAUUUCAUAACCAAUAAUAUACUUGUUAUGAAUAUGCUAGUUAGGAAGAAAAGUGAAAGAACUGUCUAAUUUAUUCUAAUCAUCUUCCCUGUUUGGUGGUUGGAAUGAAUUUUGACAUUAUUUUAAAUAGGAAAGCUAGAGAUAGUAGUUUAAUUUAUUCCAUGCCACUGUAUGUCAAGCACCAAUUUUUUUUUUUAAGAAUCAGUUUAUAAAAAUUUGAGAUUCAAUGACUUUUGCCAUUGAGUAGGUAAGCACUGCUGUAGAAUGGCUCCUUUUGGCAGAAGAUAAUAGCUUUUAAGGCAAGAAAUAUCAUGAUGUAAGCUGUAGAAUUUUAGAUUACUGUAUUGUUUCAUUUCAAGAGGGAAUGUUAGGGUAGGAAGAAAUGGUCAAAAUGAUAUAUAUAGUGCAACCCUCCCAACUUCCGUACAAUGUAUGUGUGCAUAUAUAUACACACACACACAAGGUUUUUAUUUGUGAAGUAUACCUCAAUAGAGCCAAAUAUACAAUUUAACUUUAAUGAUCAUGUAAUUUUUAUUUGUCGAGUAUACCUUAUGAACACUGAAAAAAUAAACUAGCCCCCAAACAAAGGCAAACAAAACAAAACAGUUUGUUUGAGCCAAAAACAACUAAGGCUCAGGGUAAUUAUUGAAUUCAUUGGUUGAUCAUUGUUUAUGGAAUAUCCUAGGUCUGCCUCUCUUGGAAGUGCUGUGUUGGGUGUGGGGAAUGAGGUAGUGAAAUGAUUUGCCCAUGGAGACAUAUGAAGUUAUAGCAGAACCAGAACUACAAAGCACGACUUUGUUUGUUUCUUGAGGGUAUUAAUUUAUAAGAAAUUUCCAGGCUUCAUUUUUCUAAUUUCCCUACCUUGAUUUUUUUAUAGAUAUAUCCUAUAAUGGAUUAAGAGGGUUUCCAAUAGAUGUUUAUGCAAGGUUUAUGAGUUUUAAAAUGGGUAUAUUUAUGCUGUCAAACCUAGAAAAUUUGAUUAAAAAUAUUAUCUAAUAGCCAUUUGGUUAAUAGGUUAAAUCUUUACUUUCUAAAAGUUCUUUUUUUUUUUAUUGUAUAGAAAAGAACAUUUUGCUCUUCCUGAAUUACGUAUGUCUAAGAAAAUCCUCUGAAGAAUGGAGUUGUGUGUCAGUCCUAGUACUGGGACCCCUAAUUCAUGUCCCUUUUACUGCUGUAAAUUUUUAGCAAGCUUUUAGGUUGGACAAGAAACGUAGAGCUCCCCUUAUCUAAGCUCAUUUGACAGAUGAGAAAACUGAGGCCUGGUGGGGAGGUUGAAUUAUUUGAGGAAGUUUAUAGAGCCAGUCUGAGGCCAAGCUGGGGACUAGAAGUCAAAAUUUUUUGAUCCCAAGGUCAGUACAUUUUUACUUUAGUGCAGAGUAAAAACUGUAGGCAGCAUUUGUUAUACACAUAAAUACACAUACACACACACACACAACGCCUCCCCCCCCCACACACAAUACCCUCACACUCUAAGAUGUGUCUAUUUUCAGAAGUGUGGGUUGUUAGUUAUGCAUUGUCUUAGGUUGGCUUCUCCCAAAGCUGGUUUGAGUCAAGGAUUGGAGUGCAAGUAGCUUACUUGGAAGGUGGUCCUGGGAAGCACCAGUAGGGGAGUGGAGGAAGUGAGAUAAGGAAGGAAAGGCAGCCAGUACAGUGUGUGCUGAUAAGCAGAUUCCACUGUGGGCAACUGAGGCCUCUCUGUGCUGGGGCCCUUUUGGAGACUGGGUAGAAUAUGCUUCUGAGUUGUCCCACAGGAGAGGCAGGCAAGGAGCUGGGCUGUUUAUUUACUAGUUUCUGGGUCACUGCUUGGGGGCUUUUCCUGGAAGCCUUACUCCUUGCACUUGUAGCUGAAAAGUCUACAAGUCAAGAGGGUUUCAGUUCCUGGAGGAAGGCUUCUUAAGUGCGUUUGGUAACUGAGUCAGUGGGAAUGUGGAGGAAUCGGCAGAUCACUGGCAACUUCUGUGUGCACUCAGAAAGAAUUGGAAGUGGAUGUAAGCGCACAUUCUACACACAGUCGAUUCCAAUAUGACAAACACUUUGUCUUUGCUCUUUCCUCUUCUUUCCAUCAUAUACUUACUGCUUUCAUAUGGGAAGGAUAGAGCUGAGAAAUAAAUACUGAAACUGAUACCAUCAGGGUUGGAUAUUCUGUUUGCCCCUUAAGAGUCACUCUCCACUUUCUCCAACCUGCUCUCCUCCUGAGGCUGGGCAUUAAUUGCAACAUUGGUGAGCUUCCUUGCCCUCUGGUGUUAGAAUGGGUUCAGGCAGUGGGAGCUUCUAGAGGAGACUGGAGGGAGGAGAACUGUAAGGUCAGUUGCUAAGAGACUCCCAGGUCUCUUCUUGCCAACAUGCUGUUGGUUGACUCUGUCCCCUUCCUGGAAGCCAGAGUCGACCAGAAAGAUCUCUCCUAUCAUUCUAAUACUAUUCUUGGUUUCUGUAGCUCUGUCCUCUUACUCCUUCAGACCUAGGACACAUCACAUUCCCUGCAUGGUUUCCCUAAUCCCUGCCCACACCUGGUAAAUAACCUUUUAUUAAACUCCCUCGUUGCCCCAUUUGAGUGUUCCAUCUGUUUCCUGCUGCGACCCUGACUGAGGCAACAUCUUUAAGGCAUUUACUCUCUAUUCAGAAUCAGAUGAAAUGAAACAGCUAGAGAUGUUAUGAAGGUGUAAGAUAAUGAGGCAUAAAUUGUACUUAAGCCCUAAGGACACUCAGCAUAUAGGAUCCAUUAAUAAAGAAGGGUUACUUACUAAAGAAGAUGUUUUUUGGAGGCGUGCCUUAGGUUGUAAUCGUUAAUCUGCUUUCUUUCCUGCUCUGUGGGAAGCUCUGUUUAGGUAGUGAAUUGAAAUUUGGAAGUUCUGCCUUAUUAUGACCAUGUAUGCAGUUAAUUAUAAGGUAUAUAACUCUAUAAAAUGGAAAAAUUGGUAAUUCAGAGAAACAGAAGGGUGAAAUGGAUCUAUCCAUCUGGAAAUUUCAGAGAUUUCUCUCAUGUGUGCUAAUUUUAGAUAAGUAAGUAUUUUCCUCUUAAUUCCUAAUGUUUCUCAUCCCUUUAAUGGAUUAGAAUUGAUUUUUCUCAAGUAUUUUUUUUUUUUUUUUUAAAGCUGGUGUGAAAGGCAUUUCAGGCUGCUUAGAAUAAGGCACUAGCAACAGAAAGCACCCAUUCUGUAUGUAUUUGCAGAGGGCCUCUUAUGAUUCAGGCACUUUGCUUAAGUACCAUUAACUCAAAAUGAAUGAUAUUUGAUCACUGCUUUCAAGGAAAUCACAAUGUAGUUGGGAAAACAGAAGUCCAAACAAAUACUUGUGACAAUAUUUUUUAGUAUUAUACGUAUGUAGAGAAUUUUAUGUGCAUAUAAAUGAGGAUAUAUGUAAGUAAUUCUGUCAAGGAAAGCCAGAGAGGUUAGUGAAUGACAGAAAUGUUUCAUAGAGCAAGUGACAUUGACUUGGGUCUUGAAGGAUGAUAAAGAAUGUAUCAGGAAGAUAAGAGGAGGAAUGGCAUGAAGGAAGGUGUGCAUUUCCUGGUGGCUUGAAGAUUCAGUGAGAUAUAUGAUUUGAGAGAAACGUUGGUGGCCUUUGGAGAAAAGGCUGGACUUCAGGCCAUAGGAUAGAAUGGUAAUCUGAUUCUUAAUAUGCAUCAUCACUUAAAAUAAUAUAGACUAAAAAUUUUAGUAAAAAUAUACUCUAAAAAUAUUAGGGGAGUGUAAACAAAACAAAAAUAAUAUCUUUGGGAAUCUUUAGACAUUUAAUGGGAAAUAUAUUGCUAGAUAUCAUAUAGCACAUGCUCUAAAUACUGAGCAAUGUAUGAUUUUAAUUCAGGAGCAUCUCAAAACAGGGAGAAGUCCCACUGGUAUCUUCUGUCACUACACAGCUUUGCUCAGAUUUGUGUGCACUUAUACUAAAUUUGCCAUUACACAAUUACCUUGUAUCACCAUAGAAUUACCUAAAAUAUGGAAAUAUGAUGGCUUGCUUGGAGAUAUGGUAGAAUGCCUUUUCUGUUACUAAUGAUUAUAUUAGCAUCCAUACUUCACAAUCACCUGUUCAGCAGAACAUGUCUGGAUAUACCUACCGUAAGAGAUAUUUGUGCCUUAUUCUUUCUAAAUAUUCUAGUCCCUAAAGCUUAAGGGGUCAGCAAUCUUGAUAUUAUAAGGUGGGCUAAUUGAUGAAGACUGUCUUAUCAUUACAACAGUUAUAGAUGCAAUGAAGUUUUGAGUGCUGCUUACUAAGUAGGAAACUGGUAAACAAGAAUUCCACUCCAGAGGCAUGGGCAAAAUGGUAACUAUAGUACAUGGGUAUUAUAGUCAAAGCCUUUGUAAACGGAAACCCCUUAAACUGGUCAUGUUAAAGUUCAUUAUAUUGUCUAGAAACUUGAGGUCUCAUGAAGUACGGGGAGAGGAACAAAGUCCAGUCAGGUAUCAUGGAACUGUUAAUAGAAUGCCAAAGUCCAGAAUUAAGCUUAUACUCCCCAUCAUGCAGACAGUGUCUUUUUGUCUAUCUGUUUUAUUCUUUCCUUAUCUUGUUUGCUAACCAUGUUCUAUCUAUAUUCUGUUUUAGUCAUCUCUUGCUUUUUAAAAAAACCACUCCAAAACUUACUGGCUUAAAACAACCACCACCAUUUAGUGCCUUUCAUGAGUCUGUGGGGUGACUGGGCUCAGCUGGGCAGUUCUUCUGUUUCACAUGGUAUUGGCUGGGGCUGAAAUUCUGUGGGGGUUCAUAUGAGCUGGAAUGCUCAAGAGGACUUACUCACAUGGUUAGUAGUUGAUGUGUUUAUCGGAUGGGGGUUCAGCUAGGAUGCCAACUGGAACAUCUCAGUUCUCUUCCCUUUAGUUUCUUUUCAUGUGACUUGGGCUUCUCACAGUGAGGGAGCUGGCUUCCAAGAGGGAGCUUAUAGGUGUGCAAAAAUGGAAGUUGCCAGUUCCCUUAAGUCAAGGGCUCAGAAGUCCUGGGUGACCACUCCCAGUGCAUUCUGUGAAAGCAGUCACAGGGCCAGCUUCCAGGAGAGGGGGAAUAGACUUGACUUCCCAACAGGAAGAGGGACAAACCAUUUAAAACCACAUUUUUUGCAGAAGGCGCAACAUGUUCCACGUGCCCCCAGUCACCAGUAUUCAUGGAAACAUUCAUUAAGUAUUCAUCAUGAAUUGCCUAUAGCCUCUGUGUCUCUUAGUUCAAAUGCUCCCAAGGGACAUUCAUAUUGGUUGCUGACCAUCCAGUCAUCUGUAGUUGACAGGGCCAAGUCUUAUGCUAUUAAAGACUUUCUUUGAAGGGGCUGAGGUGGGAUUAGUGCUCUGAGGAUUAUUUGAGAGAACGCUUAGUGCCUGGCUGUUCCUCUGAGGCUUGAGAUAACUUUUCUUUCCAUGGUCCAGAGAGCUCUGCCUGACAUCUGCCUUCUAGCUUUUUCUGGAGCCAUUUUCUCCCUCAUUUUUCAGCUUUGCUUUUUUGUUUUAAGUUUGUCUAAUGUGCCUCUUCCCUUUCUGCUCUGUGUGCUGCACGUCCCUGAGACAAGAAGGCUGUCUUCUCUCUCCCAGCCCCUAUCUGUUGGCUAACUUCUAACCUGCUCUUCAGAUCUCAGCUCAAAUAUCACUUCCUGAGGGGAGCAUGGAACACUCUGGAUUAAGCCACAUCCCCUGUCCAUCUCCUUUUCCCUCAUCUUGCUAUCAUACUUUGUGACCUUAUACCAGUGUGGCUAUUUGAUUAUGGUCUGCCUCCCCCUGAAGGCUCUAGAAGGCAGAGGAAUGUGUCUGUCUUCCUCAGGGCUGCAGUGGCCAUGCAUUGCUCAUGUUAGGUACUGAUAAGUGUUUGUUAUUUGCAUGAGUUAAAAAUUAGAAGUUGAGAUGGUUUGGUCAUUUGUCCCCUCCAAAUCUCAAGUUGAAAUGUGAUCCCCAUUGUUGGAGGUGGGGCCUGGUGGGAGGUAUUUGGGUCAGGGGAGCAGAUCGCUCAUGACUGUCUUGGUGCUCUCCCCAUAGUAAUGAGUGAGUUCCCGUUCUAUUAAUUCACGUGAGAGCUGAUGAUUUAAAAGAGCCUGGCAUCUCUCUUGCUGCCUCUCUUCCCAUGUGACAUGCCUGCUCGCCCUUCGCCUUCCACCAUGAGUAAAAGCUUCCUGAGACCUCACCAGAAGCUGGUGCCAUGUUGUACAACCUGAGGAACCAUGAACUAAAUAAACCAUCUUUCUUUAUAAAUUACUCUGUCUCAGGUUUUCCUUUAUAGAAAUGCAAAAUGGACUAACACAGAGGUAGUUGCCCUGAAAAAGAAAAGACCAAGGGGAGAGAAUAUUUAUCUUGAUGAGAGAAGUUAAGACUAGCCUCGUUUCAGGGAAUAUAAGGACAUAGUUUCUUGGGGACUUCCGCUCAUCCCCAUUGGUGAUACCAUGUGAAUCAGUGAAGUCCUAUCAUUAGGGGUAGAGGCCGCAUGCUAGUUUGAAAUGUAGCAUGAGUUCCUGCCCAGUGAUGGUCCGUAAGUGCCUGAUUCAAAGCCAACUUUUUCUUUUUUUAUGCUUCUACCACCAUGGGGCCCCCAAUCUGUACCCAGAGAUCUCAGUGAUGGCUGAACUUUGUGACCACUGGGCCAUAACUGCUCAUUCCAUUCCUAUUUGUUCUCCCAUGAAGCCAGUAUCUUGUUUGGCUGCAAGUCAAAAAGAUUGGUUAGAUUACAUCUUGGGAUAUGAUGGAUGCGCCUGUGAGCAUAAUCUCCAUGAGAUAACCCUAAUCAAAACUUUUUGUCCAAUUCUUCUGUGGCAUGCUAUUUAUCUAAAAAGAAAGUAAGUUAGGAAAAGAAUCAAAAUACCAGAUGGGAAACAUAAAGACAGAGAAGGAAAUAACUGAGAUUUUGUUUUAUUUAAAGAUUCUACACCCUUUGCAUGUCAGGAUUUUUCAAUCGUCACUUUUAGAUUGAGAUAAAGAUGGGGGCAAUCUUGUUUAAGUUUACUUAAUUUCCCUGAAAUAAUUUAAUACUGUAAAUAUGUAUUGAACACUCCAUAUGUAUCUCUGUGGAGGGUGUAAAAACACAUACAAGUUGGUAUAUAAUCUUGAAAUUUAUACCUACCCAGGAAAUAUGGCAUGCAUAUAUGACAUGAGGUCCAAGUGCAACAAUCAGAUAAAAAGGGCUAAUAGGAAUUAAAUGGGGGAUGGAGUAGUCAGGGGUGUUUUUAUAGAGCGGCUAGACAUUGAGCUGAAUCUCCUUGGAUGAGUAGAUUUAGGAAAAGUUGCCUAGAAAGUAAAGGGAGAGGAUAUUCUAGGCUGUGAAAGCCCCAUGUCUGAAAGUUAAAGUGUGAGAAGGAACAGGAAUAUCCUUUCAUGCUCCAAAGGCAGUGAAGGUAUACAGGGUAGGGGUGGGAGGUUAGAGAGUGGAGGGGUAUGGCAAGCCACUGAGUGAGAUCCUUGGAGGCCAGGUGCAGGGGUGGGAUGCUUGCAAGCAAAGGAAGUCACAUCAUAAAACCUGUGAUUUGGAACAUUAUUUCCUUUGCAGUUGGUGAGGUAGUUUUGGUGAGGAAGAGGCUGGAGCCAGAGACACCUCCUGGGAGAUGUUGUGGUCAGCACCACAAGGAUGGUGAUAGAAACUAAGAGAAAGGGAAGUUCACAAAAUGGAUUCAGAGGAAGAACAGGUGGAUUUUCAUGUCUGGAUUCAUAGUGAGGAAUACAAAGAAGGAAGAAAUAAAGGGAUCUUGAAUCUGGAAAAAUUAUUUCCACAACCACCAGUACAAAGAUUGGAAAUAGAUGGUCAUGCCAAGGUUGUGUGGACCAGAUGAAUGGAAUAGCUUAUAAGCAAUGCUGAAUAACUGUGGGUUGGUUGAAAGAUAAAGGCUGGAGGUGCAAAUGAGUGUAUCACCAGAUGCUGUUGGACUAAAUAAAUCCAAUGAAGACAAACUUGGGAGUUUUACUAGGCAUUUUAAGCAGGGAAGUGAAAAAAGUAUGUCCCAUAUCUUCAGAUACUGACAUCUGAUUCAACAGUAAAUUCUGUUGUUGUUCUACAUUCAGGACGUAUCCCAAAUUUAAGCAGUUUCUGUUGCUGGUAUCACUGCCUUCCGGUCCAGUCAUCACCCUUCUUCACCUGGAUUCUGCAGUAGCCUCGAACCCUUGCCCAUCUGCAGUUUGUUCUCAACACAGCAGCCCAAAUGAUGCCUCUGAAAUAGAUAUCAGGUCAUGUUGCUCUGCUCCUAAAGUGGUUUCCCACCUCAUUCAGAGAGUAAGCCAAAGCACUCACAAGGACCCCCAGGGCCUGGCAUGAUCCCUUUCUCUUAAUCUCUGACUUCAUCUGUUACUACCUUCUCCUUUGUUCACUCCAUGCUGGCUUACCUUGCGAACUGCUUUUCCUUACACACACUGGGCAUGGCUGCCGCUGCCCCAGGGCCUUUGCACAUUCUCCCUCUGCCUGGAAACUUCUUUACAAUAUCUGCAGGACUUGUUCCUCCCCUCCUUCAAAUCUUUGCCAUCCCUGUGACUUGUACCCUGUCCCUUUCUUUACUUUAGUCUUUUUCCUCCAUAACCUUUAGUGUCUUCUAAUAUCUAGACCAUUGGCUGACUUGUUUGUUGUCAGUCUCCCUCUUUAAAAUUGAAGUUCCAUGACAGCAGAGAUUUCUAUCUGUAUCGUGCAUGGACAUCUUAAAUGCCUAGAACAGUGCAGGUACUUAGUAGUAAACAUUUGUUGAGUGAAUGGAAGAAAUUAUGUUAGAAACUUCUUUUUGAGUGAAACUUUGAUUUCCCUGAGAUCAGCUGUCAAUAAUUUCUAUCUUUAUAUUCAGGCAUAGUCAGUGCUCAGUAAAUGUUGAAUAAGCAAGCAGAACCUGAAAUAUAAAAUCCUAACAUUUCACAUUAUCUAGUUCCAGAAAGUUUCAGUACUAAAUGUAACAUUUAAAAAACGAUGGAGGGGAGGGAUGGUGGAAGGAUAGUUUCGGUUCAUUUAGCUUAGCCUCCACUUUUGACUUCAGAAUUCAUAUCAUAGUUUGGCAAUUCUUUCAUUAUUACUAUGAUUAUUAAUUGGAUGCUAUUUAAAAAUUUGGCUUUUAAACUCUCAGCUGAUGUUUUAGGAGAUUAUACUAUACAGGGUACGGAAAUUGCCGGGGCUGACUGUAACUAUUCAUGGCCAAUUAAGGAACAGCAUUGGCAAGAAAUAUGGGGUGGAUACACUUGUGCUUUGUGGGAAUCCUGGUGGCUAUGGCUUCAUAGUAUCAGGGGAUUAGCUUGCUGGGCUUCCUUCUGCAAAAGGGAUCUUAAUUUGGUUACCUGGUGGGUGCUUUUAUAAAUGAGGAGAAUAAACAGUCUUGAGGGACUUACAUUGUUGGAGAGUGUUGGAGAGUUAAAGAUAGAAAGAAAAGAACAAAGUGAAGAAAUUACUCUUUAUUUGGGAGCAUUUCCUUGAGAAGUCUUUCUGAAGUUUGCUUUUAGUUUUAUUUGGUAUCACUUUUAUCUUUUCCCAGGGGAUGCAGAUGUCUUUUGAAAGAAUGCAUGCAGAAAAAACAAGCUGUAGGAGGCAGAAAUAAGUUCUUGAAAGUUUAGUAAGUUUUGAAGGACAGAAGUGCUUGGAGAAGCUGGGCUGUACCACAUCUUUAAGGUUGAUAUCUGGGAGAAUCAACUACUGUGUUUCCUGCUAUGACCAUUGAUGUGUUUGUUGAUAGAUACAACUAAUGACUAGGUUCUUACUUAUAUUUGUAUAUGGAACUUUUUAAAAGAGUUCGAAUAACAGGGAAAUAUGACACAAAGGAACCUGAAAAACAUAAGCAGCAGAUUACACCUUUGUUUAACUUUAAGGUUAAAACAAUCCAUAGAAAAUUGUUUUUGAUUUUUCUAGCUUAUGAAAAUACUGUACAGCCCUUUGCAGAUAUAGUAUCUAAGGGGUUUAAAGCUGGUAUGGUGGCUCAGGAGGCCAAGGCUGGAGGAUUGCUUAAGCCCAGGAGUUCAAGACCAGCUUGAGCAACAAAA